GGGCCCGCACAAGCGGUGGAGUAUGUGGUUUAAUUCGAUGCAACGCGAAGAACCUUACCAGGGCUUGACAUCCAGAGAACUUUUCAGAGAUGAAUUGGUGCCUUCGGGAACUCUGAGACAGGUGCUGCAUGGCUGUCGUCAGCUCGUGUUGUGAAAUGUUGGGUUAAGUCCCGCAACGAGCGCAACCCUUAUCCUUGUUUGCCAGCGAGUAAUGUCGGGAACUCCAGGGAGACUGCCGGUGAUAAACCGGAGGAAGGUGGGGACGACGUCAAGUCAUCAUGGCCCUUACGAGUAGGGCUACACACGUGCUACAAUGGCGCAUACAGAGGGCGGCCAACUUGCGAGAGUGAGCGAAUCCCAAAAAGUGCGUCGUAGUCCGGAUCGGAGUCUGCAACUCGACUCCGUGAAGUCGGAAUCGCUAGUAAUCGUGGAU
rnacentral:rRNA from 1 species